rnacentral:rRNA from 1 species
AGUCGAGGGGUAUAGGUUUUCGGACCUAGAGACCGGCGCACGGGUGCGUAACGCGUAUGCAAUCUACCUUUUACAGAGGGAUAGCCCAGAGAAAUUUGGAUUAAUACCUCAUAGUAUUAUUGAAUGGCAUCAUUUAAUAAUUAAAGUUACAACGGUAAAAGAUGAGCAUGCGUCCCAUUAGCUUGUUGGUAAGGUAACGGCUUACCAAGGCAACGAUGGGUAGGGGUCCUGAGAGGGAGAUCCCCCACACUGGUACUGAGACACGGACCAGACUCCUACGGGAGGCAGCAGUGAGGAAUAUUGGUCAAUGGGCGCAAGCCUGAACCAGCCAUGCCGCGUGCAGGAUGACGGUCCUAUGGAUUGUAAACUGCUUUUGUACAGGAAGAAACAGUUCUACGUGUAGAACCUUGACGGUACUGUAAGAAUAAGGAUCGGCUAACUCCGUGCCAGCAGCCGCGGUAAUACGGAGGAUCCAAGCGUUAUCCGGAAUCAUUGGGUUUAAAGGGUCCGUAGGCGGUUUUGUAAGUCAGUGGUGAAAGCCCAUCGCUCAACGGUGGAACGGCCAUUGAUACUGCAAGACUUGAAUUAUUAGGAAGUAACUAGAAUAUGUAGUGUAGCGGUGAAAUGCUUAGAGAUUACAUGGAAUACCAAUUGCGAAGGCAGGUUACUACUAAUGGAUUGACGCUGAUGGACGAAAGCGUGGGGAGCGA